AAGUCGGGGUCUUCUGGGGAGCACCGGUAUUCCGCACCUCCGCCACCACCAACCGGCUACGAGCUGCCAACGCCGCCGACUUCAGGCUCUUCUGGUGAGCACCGCCAUUCCUCACCGCCGCCGCCAUCAACAAUACCAGCUACACCGCCACCAUAUUCCGGCUACGGGCCGGCAGCCCCGCCUGUUGGCCUGAUUCCACCCACCAGUUCUCCGGUGGCUCCG
rnacentral:misc_RNA from 1 species